rnacentral:rRNA from 1 species
UUUGGGGUAAAUUAAAAAAAAAAUAUUNUUUAAUUAAUUUGAUCUUGACAAAAUUAAUUGAAAAAGGUACUCUAGGGAUAACAGCGUUAUAAUUAUUAAAGAUCAUAUUUAAAUAGUUGUUUGCGACCUCGAUGUUGAAUUGCGAAUAGUUUUUNAAAGCAGAAAUUAAAGAUAUUNAGGUCU